rnacentral:rRNA from 1 species
AGUGAACGCUGACGGCAGGCCUAACACAUGCAAGUCGAACGGCAGCACAGGGGAGCUUGCUCCCUGGGUGGCGAGUGGCGGACGGGUGAGGAAUACAUCGGAAUCUACCCUGUCGUGGGGGAUAACGUAGGGAAACUUACGCUAAUACCGCAUACGACCUCCGGGUGAAAGCAGGGGAUCGCAAGACCUUGCGCGAUUGGAUGAGCCGAUGUCCGAUUAGCUAGUUGGCGGGGUAAAGGCCCACCAAGGCGACGAUCGGUAGCUGGUCUGAGAGGAUGAUCAGCCACACUGGAACUGAGACACGGUCCAGACUCCUACGGGAGGCAGCAGUGGGGAAUAUUGGACAAUGGGCGAAAGCCUGAUCCAGCCAUGCCGCGUGGGUGAAGAAGGCCUUCGGGUUGUAAAGCCCUUUUGUUGGGAAAGAAAACUUUCCGGUUAAUACCCGGAGAGAAUGACGGUACCCAAAGAAUAAGCACCGGCUAACUUCGUG